rnacentral:rRNA from 1 species
GAUUGCAGAAUUCCGCGAAUCAUCGAGUCUUUGAACGCAAGUUGCGCCCGAGGCUUGUCCGAGGGCAUUUCCGCUAGAGCGUCACC